AUUCUUCCAUAGUUCAUACAUAUGAUUGGGUAUUUAAUGCUUAUUUGAGUUGUGCCUCCCUCAAACCUUGUUGUAAUGUCAGCGCAUUAUCCAUCUGAUG